rnacentral:lncRNA from 1 species
UUUUUUUUUUUUUAAUUCUUCAGCUAAAACAGUGGAAAAGGUGAUUUAUUAUAUGGUUGUUACACUCGGCCACAAAUAAACACAGAAAUAGUCCAGAAUGUCACAGGUCCAGGGCAGAGGACCAACAUGGGCAUUUUGUUUAUGAGCAAGGUGGGUCUCAGAGGUGAUCGGCGAUCAGAGGUAGCAUGCAGUCCCACAACUUGUACCAGCAUCCCCAGCGUCUGGCAUUCCAUGUUUCUGCUCCUGUGGCCUCCACGGUGCAACAAGCUAGCGGUUUACUUGGAC